UACGUAGGGUGCGAGCGUUAAUCGGAAUUACUGGGCGUAAAGCGCGUGUAGGCGGCUUUGCAAGUCGGGUGUGAAAUCCCUCGGCUCAACCGAGGAAGUGCGCCCGAAACUGCAGAGCUUGAGUACUGGAGAGGAUGGUGGAAUUCCCCAAGUAGAGGUGAAAUUCGUAGAUAUGGGGAGGAACACCGGUGGCGAAGGCGACCAUCUGGACAGAUACUGACGCUGAGACGCGAAAGCGUGGGGAGCAAACAGG
rnacentral:rRNA from 1 species